GAUGAACGCUGGCGGUAUGCUUUACACAUGCAAGUCAUACGGAAGUUAGUCUCGGCUAACUUCAGUGGCGGACGGGUGAGUAACACGUGAGAAUUCGCCUUUAGGAGGGGAUAACAGGGGAAACACCUGCUAAAACCCCAUAUGCCUUCGGGUCAAAAGAGUAAUCUGCCUAAAGAGAAGCUCGCGGCUGAUUAGCUAGUUGGUGGGGUAAAGGCCUACCAAGGCGACGAUCAGUAGCUGGUCUGAGAGGACGAUCAGCCACACUGGAACUGAGACACGGCCCAGACUCCUACGGGAGGCAGCAGUGGGGAAUAUUGGACAAUGGGCGAAAGCCUGAUCCAGCAAUGCCGCGUGAGUGAUGAAGGCC
rnacentral:rRNA from 1 species